rnacentral:rRNA from 1 species
UACGAAGGGAGCUAGCGUUGUUCGGAAUCACUGGGCGUAAAGCGCACGUAGGCGGAUGUGUCAGUCAGGGGUGAAAUCCCGGAGCUCAACUUCGGAACUGCCUUUGAUACAGCACAUCUGGAGUCCGGAAGAGGUGGGUGGAAUUCCUAGUGUAGAGGUGAAAUUCGUAGAUAUUAGGAAGAAACACCAAGGCGAAGGCAGCUCGCUGGACGGUACGUGACGC